rnacentral:rRNA from 1 species
AAUUAAAUACUAAAGUCUAAAUCAUUAAAAAAUUUAAAAUAAUUCAAAACAUUUUUAAAUUUAGUAAAGGUGAUAGAAAAUUAUUAAAUAAGACCUGAAAAAAGUACCGUAAGGGAAUCAUUUAAUUAGAAAAUAGAAAAAUUUAAUAUUUGUACCUUUUGCAUCAUGGUUUAGCUAGAUGUUAUUUUUUCUUAAAUUUCUCGAAAUCUAAUGAGUUAUUUUUAUUCAGUAUGUUAGUAUAAAAGAGUAGUUGUAGCAAAAACUUUCUUAGAAAUAAAAAUGGAAAUGAAAUUUUAUUCGUAUUAGAUGAUAGCUAGUUUUUCUGUAAAAACAUAUAAGUGUUUUAAAUUAAUUUAAUUUUUAUAAAUUAUUAUAUAAAAAGAAUUUAAUUUAGUUAAAUUUUCGAGGAUAAGCUCGAAAAUUAAAGUAAUAUAUUUGCAUUAUAUUUUUAUUAAAAUUUAGGCUUGAAAAUAGUCAUAAUUUUGAGUUUGUUAUAAUUUAUUAAUUAAUUAAAAAAAUAAUUGAUUUGCUUAUAGUUAUAGAAAAAAAUUUAAUAAUUAAAUUAAAUUAUAUUAAUGCUAAAAUGAGUAUUAAAAUAUUUUAUAAUUCUUUAACAAUUUAUUAGUUAAAGUUUAUAUUUAUUUUUAAAAUAAAAAUUAUAAAAAGGAACUCGGCAAAUACUCAUUUCGCCUGUUUAGCAAAAACAUGGCUCCUUGAAUUUUAAUAAUAAGGAGUCGGACCUGCCCAGUGAAUUUUUAACGGCCGCGGUACUCUGNCCGUGCAAAGGUAGCAUAAUCAUUUGCCUUAUAAUUGAAGGCUAGUAUGAAUGGUUUGACAAGAAUGAAGCUGUCUCUUUAUAAUUUAAUAGAAUUUUAUCUUUAGGUGAAGAAGCCUAAAUAAAAUUAAAAGACAAGAAGACCCUAUCGAGCUUGAAAAAAAAUAAUAGAAUUAACUAAUUAAUAUUUAUAGAAAAUUAUCUAUUAUAUAUUUUAGUUGGGGCGACUGAGGAACAUAAAAAGCUUCCUUUAUAAAAUUAACUAAAAUCAGACUAGAAUUGAUCCAAAAUAAUUUUGAUUAAAGAAAUUAGUUACCGUAGGGAUAACAGCAUUAUCUUUUUUAAGAGCUCAUAUCGAAAAAAAGGUUUGUGACCUCGAUGUUGGACCAGAAUAUCCUAAAGGUGCAGCAGUCUUUAAGGGUUGGUCUGUUCGACCAUUAAAAUUCUACGUGAUCUGAGUUCAGACCGGCGUGAGCCAGGUCAGUUUCUAUCUUUAAUUAUUUUGAUAAAUUUAGUACGAAAGGACCAAUUUAUCAUAAAAUUAUAUUUUUAUUGAUUAAAUUUAAUUAAAAAUUAAAUAAUUUACUAGUAUCAAAUUAGCAAAAAUUUAAUGCAUUUGACUUAGGAUCAAUAGAUAUAGGUGAAAUUCCUUUUAUUUGAUACNAUAUAAAAGAUGGUAGAUGAA